UCAUUCGGCUUUCCUGCACUGGGGGAGAGAGGGGCCGAGCACCGAGCUCGAGCUGCCUCCAAUUCCCACUUUUCCCAUUAUUCCAACCGAGGGGACUCCCAUUGGGUUCACUGACGUCAGGUUUCACCGCAGGAUCGGGAGAUUAGUUUUGAGGAGGCCAGCAGUUUCCCUGCAAUCAGGGCGAGCAAGGUGACGCCGGACAACCUGGUUGCAGUAUCGAACCUGCCGAGGGGCGCUGACUUCAUAAAGGAGAAUGGAGACAGCUGUUGUCCACUCUCGCCCCCCUCCACCCCCUCUCUCUCCUCUCUCUCUCUAUCCCCCUCCCUUCUCUCUAUCUCUCUGCAGCCUCACUCACACGGGAGUCCCGGGGCAGCCAAUUCCGCUGCUGUUCUGUCUUAUGUUUCGUUCAGCGGGGCCAGGGAUCGGAGGAGAGUCCCUCUUAGAGGAGUGCAUCUCGCUCGCAGCCGCUUCGGGACGGACCGCUCGGGUCACUGGUCACAUGUCAACCUAUUAUUCCUGGCACAACACUUCAUUGUUCAACAAAGAGAAAGAAAACAUCAGAAGCCUUCUCCACAAUGGUUUAAUAAGCCAACAAGGGUUUAAUAAUAAGAACAUCUCAAAUCAACCAUUCAUCAGAAAUCAACCUACUACAAAGGGAAAAAGUGCAGACCUGGAAUAGGGCAAAAGGGUGCCCGAAAUGAAAAUUAAAUACAGGAUGAAAUACCUCUGAAGAGAAGAUAGUGCAUUUUGGGGAAAGUAAAUCAAAUUACUGAACAAGGAAGAUAACUCUGUUCAGAAUCGGAAAUACCUAGUAAGUCUAAAAUAGUAUUUAGAAAAAUGCAUCCAUGUAGCACUUGUAAUUUUCAUGCACUAUCCAUAUGGUUAUCUCAUUCGUACCCUAAUAAGUCAGUAUUGUGAUGGAAUAUGUAUAGAGUCCCAUUUCUAUCUUGCUUUGCUGCACUUGAACUAGAGUAAGUUAUUUUGUAUCAUCCUGGUUUGUGCAGCAUCUUUAGUGCAUAUUGAAUCGAAAAGAAAUGAAUGAAACUAUAUCUGUCUUGUCUCUGCAAAUGAGUUGUCUUCAUUUAAGUUGAAUCCCUGAGGCAAUUAUGACCAGACAAUAGAAAUGACAAAACACAGGAGGCUGCUAAAUUCUCAACUGAAGUGAGACCUAUAGCAGACCAAAAAAAGAAAGCUAUCAAUGAAUCACAUUUCAGACAGUGCUAUUAAAUGACAGGAAAACCCUGGACUUGUUAGAAUGUGCGUAGCCUCCUGCUCUGGUGUAUAACAUGCAAGCCCAAAACUGAAGCAAAAAAAGGGGGUGUGAAUGCAUACAAAAUACUUGAAAGACUCUGUAGGUCAUUUAGUAUCCAGGGAGAGAGAAGCAGAGCUGAUGGUUCAAAUCUGUGACCUUUCAACAAAACAAAAGCAAAUUACUGCGGAUGCUGGAAUCGGAAACCA